rnacentral:tRNA from 1 species
GAUUUAAUCAGUUUUUGGUAAAAAGAUCUUGAUUUUGCGUUGGUUAGAAAAGCUU